rnacentral:rRNA from 1 species
GACGAACGCUGGCGGCGUGCCUAACACAUGCAAGUCGAACGAAAAGACCCGGCUCUUGUGCGGUGCUCGAUUGGCGAACGGGUGAGUGAAACGUGAGUAACCUGCCCUUAACUGUGGGAUAACUUCAGGGGACUGGGGCUAAUACCGGAUAGGAGCUACUGCAGCGUAGGGGGCGAUGGAGAGAGUCGGCUGUGGUGGAUGGUCUAGAGGCUUAUCAGCUUGUUGGGGUGGUAGGUGAUGUCCAAGGCUUUGACGGGUAGCCGGCCUGAGAGGGUGACCGGCGACAUUGGGACUGAGGUACGGACCAGAAUCCUACGGGAGGCAGCAGUGGGAAAUAUUGCGCAAUGGGCGGAAGCCUGAGGCAGCAGCGCCGCGUGCGGGAUGACGGCUUUCGGGUUGUAAACCGCUUUCGCAUGUGACGAAGCGUGAGUGACGGUAAUGGGUAAAGAAGCACCGGCUAACUACGUG